GUGGGUAACCUGCCUGUGAGACUGGGAUAACUCCGGGAAACCGGAGCUAAUACCGGAUAGUUCCUUGAACCGCAUGGUUCAAGGAUGAAAGACGGUUUCGGCUGUCACUUACAGAUGGACCCGCGGCGCAUUAGCUAGUUGGUGGGGUAAUGGCUCACCAAGGCGACGAUGCGUAGCCGACCUGAGAGGGUGAUCGGCCACACUGGGACUGAGACACGGCCCAGACUCCUACGGGAGGCAGCAGUAGGGAAUCUUCCGCAAUGGACGAAAGUCUGACGGAGCAACGCCGCGUGAGUGAUGAAGGUUUUCGGAUCGUAAAGCUCUGUUGUUAGGGAAGAACAAGUGCGAGAGUAACUGCUCGCACCUUGACGGUACCUAACCAGAAAGCCACGGCUAACUACGUGCCAGCAGCCGCGGUAAUACGUAGGUGGCAAGCGUUGUC
rnacentral:rRNA from 1 species